rnacentral:rRNA from 1 species
CGUAAAGGGCUCGCAGGCGGUUUCUUAAGUCUGAUGUGAAAGCCCCCGGCUCAACCGGGGAGGUGCAUUGGAAACUGGGGAACUUGAGUGCAGAAGAGGAUAGUGGAAUUCCCCGUGUAGCGGUGAAAUGCGUAGAUAUGUGAAGGAACACCAGUGGCGAAGGCGACUCUCUGGACUGAAACUGACGCUGAGGAGCGAAAGCGUGGGGAGCGAACAGGAUUAGAUACCCUGGUAGUCCACGCCGUAAACGAUGAGUGCUAGGCGUU